GUGAUCAUUUCUACAGCACCUAUACUAAAAUUAGAAUGAUACAGAGAAGAUUAGCAUGGCCCCUUUUCAAGAAUGACAUGCAAAUUCUUGAAGCAUUCCAUAUUUAG
ensembl:snRNA U6 U6 spliceosomal RNA